rnacentral:rRNA from 1 species
GACGAACGCUGGCGGCGUGCUUAACACAUGCAAGUCGAACGGAAAGGCCCUGCUUUUGUGUGGUGCUCGAGUGGCGAACGGGUGAGUAACACGGGAGUAACCUUGCCUGUACUUGGGGAUAACUUCAGGAAACUGGGGCUAAUACCUGAUAGGAGCGCCUGCUGCAGGGUGGGGGUUGGAAAGUUUCGGCGGGUGGGGAUGGACUCGGGGCUUAUCAGCUUGUGGGGUGGGGAGUGGCUUACCAAGGCUUUGACGGGUAGCCGGCAUGAGAGGGUGAACGGCCACAUUGGGACUGAGAUACGGCCCAGACUCCUACGGGAGGCAGCAGGGGGGAAUAUUGCACAAUGGGCGGAAGCCUGAGGAAGCAACGCCGCGUGCGGGAUGACGGCCUUCGGGUUGUAAACCGCUUUAGCCUGUGACGAAGCGUGAGUGACGGUAAUGGGUAAAGAAGCACCGGCUAACUACGUG